GAUGAAGAACGCAGCGAAAUGCGAUAAGUAAUGUUAAUUGCAGAAUUCAGUGAAUCAUCGAAUCUUUGAACGCACAUUGCGCCCGCCAGUAUUCUGGCGGGCAUGCCUGUUCGAGCGUCAUUUCAACCAUCAAGCCCCCGGCUUGUGUUGGGGACCUGCGGCUGCCGCAGGCCCUGAAAACCAGUGGCGGGCUCGCUAGUCACUCCGAGCGUAGUAAUACAUCUCGCUCAGGGCGUGCUGCGGGUUCCGGCCGUUAAAAAGCCUUAUUUACCCAAGGUUGACCUCGGAUCAGGUAGGAAGACCCGCUGAACUUAAGCAUAUCAAUAAGCGGAGGA
rnacentral:misc_RNA from 1 species